CAGGAUGAACGCUGGCGGCGUGCCUAAUACAUGCAAGUCGAACGAGUUCUGAUUAUUGAAAGGUGCUUGCAUCUUGAUUUAAUUUUGAACGAGUGGCGGACGGGUGAGUAACACGUGGGUAACCUGCCCUUAAGUGGGGGAUAACAUUUGGAAACAGAUGCUAAUACCGCAUAAAUCCAAGAACCGCAUGGUUCUUGGCUGAAAGAUGGCGUAAGCUAUCGCUUUUGGAUGGACCCGCGGCGUAUUAGCUAGUUGGUGAGGUAACGGCUCACCAAGGCAAUGAUACGUAGCCGAACUGAGAGGUUGAUCGGCCACAUUGGGACUGAGACACGGCCCAAACUCCUACGGGAGGCAGCAGUAGGGAAUCUUCCACAAUGGACGCAAGUCUGAUGGAGCAACGCCGCGUGAGUGAAGAAGGCUUUCGGGUCGUAAAACUCUGUUGUUGGAGAAGAAUGGUCGGCAGAGUAACUGUUGUCGGCGUGACGGUAUCCAACCAGAAAGCCACGGCUAACUACGUGCCAGCAGCCGCGGUAAUACGUAGGUGGCAAGCGUUAUCCGGAUUUAUUGGGCGUAAAGCGAGCGCAGGCGGUUUUUUAAGUCUGAUGUGAAAGCCCUCGGCUUAACCGAGGAAGUGCAUCGGAAACUGGGAAACUUGAGUGCAGAAGAGGACAGUGGAACUCCAUGUGUAGCGGUGAAAUGCGUAGAUAUAUGGAAGAACACCAGUGGCGAAGGCGGCUGUCUGGUCUGUAACUGACGCUGAGGCUCGAAAGCAUGGGUAGCGAACAGGAUUAGAUACCCUGGUAGUCCAUGCCGUAAACGAUGAAUGCUAGGUGUUGGAGGGUUUCCGCCCUUCAGUGCCGCAGCUAACGCAUUAAGCAUUCCGCCUGGGGAGUACGACCGCAAGGUUGAAACUCAAAGGAAUUGACGGGGGCCCGCACAAGCGGUGGAGCAUGUGGUUUAAUUCGAAGCAACGCGAAGAACCUUACCAGGUCUUGACAUCUUUUGAUCACCUGAGAGAUCAGGUUUCCCCUUCGGGGGCAAAAUGACAGGUGGUGCAUGGUUGUCGUCAGCUCGUGUCGUGAGAUGUUGGGUUAAGUCCCGCAACGAGCGCAACCCUUAUGACUAGUUGCCAGCAUUUAGUUGGGCACUCUAGUAAGACUGCCGGUGACAAACCGGAGGAAGGUGGGGAUGACGUCAAAUCAUCAUGCCCCUUAUGACCUGGGCUACACACGUGCUACAAUGGAUGGUACAACGAGUUGCGAGACCGCGAGGUCAAGCUAAUCUCUUAAAGCCAUUCUCAGUUCGGACUGUAGGCUGCAACUCGCCUACACGAAGUCGGAAUCGCUAGUAAUCGCGGAUCAGCACGCCGCGGUGAAUACGUUCCCGGGCCUUGUACACACCGCCCGUCACACCAUGAGAGUUUGUAACACCCGAAGCCGGUGGCGUAACCCUUUUAGGGAGCGAGCCGUCUAAGGUGGGACAAAUGAUUAGGGUGAAGUCGU
rnacentral:rRNA from 1 species